rnacentral:rRNA from 1 species
CCUACGGGCGGCAGCAGUGGGGAAUAUUGGGCAAUGGGCGCAAGCCUGACCCAGCAACGCCGCGUGAAGGAAGAAGGCUUUCGGGUUGUAAACUUCUUUUCUCAGGGACGAAGCAAGUGACGGUAACUGAGGAAUAAGCCACGGUUAACUACGUGCCAGCAGCCGCGGUAAUACGGCGGUGGCAAGCGUUAUCCGGAUUUACUGGUUGUAAAGGGCGUGUAGGCGGGAAAGCAAGUCAGAUGUGAAAACCAUGGGCUCAACCUGUGGCCUGCAUUUGAAACUGUUUGUCUUGAGUACUGGAGAGGCAGACGGAAGUCCUAGUGUAGCGGUGAAAUGCGUAGAUAUUAGGAGGAACACCAGUGGCGAAGGCGGUCUGCUGGACAGCAACUGACGCUGAGGCGCGAAAGCGUGGGGAGCAAACAGGAUUAGAUACCCUAGUAGUC